rnacentral:rRNA from 1 species
AGCAGCCGCGGUAAUUCCAGCUCCAAUAGCGUAUAUUAAAGUUGUUGCAGUUAAAAAGCUCGUAGUUGAAUUUCGGGAUCAAUUUGCUGGUCGUGCCUCUGGUACGUACUGGUAUUAUUGGUUUCUCCCUUCUGACGAACCAUGAUGUCAUUAAUUUGAUGUCGUGGAGAAUCAGGACUGUUACUUUGAAAAAUUAGAGUGUUUAAAGCAGGCAUUAGCUUGAAUACAUUAGCAUGGAAUAAUGAAAUAGGACGUUUGAUCCUAUUUUGUUGGUUUCUAGGAUUGACGUAAUGAUUAAUAGGGAUAGUUGGGGGCAUUAGUAUUCAAUUGUCAGAGGUGAAAUUCUUGGAUUUAUUGAAGACUAACUACUGCGAAAGCAUUUGCCAAGGAUGUUUUCAUUAAUCAAGAACGAAAGUUAGGGGAUCGAAGACGAUCAGAUACCGUCGUAGUCUUAACCAUAAACUAUGCCGACUAGGGAUCGGAUGAUGUUAAUUUUUAAUGACUC